CUUGGAUGAGUACGAGAAUUUCUUGUCUAGUCCAGCGAGGGAGUCUGGGGGUUUUGCUGCCGUCAUCUGCGCCGUCGAUAGAGGCAGGCCGGGUGUUGUCAACGCCGUUAGUGGUAUCGCCGUCAACGGUAUUCGAGGUGGAGACAGAGGACUGAAAUUCGUGAUAAGGGCAGCCUACCCUACCACCACUAACGAGGUUUUGUCCACCUUUGUCUCUUUUUUCUUCACCAUUACUCUAAUUAUCUCACUUAAUCAUUCGGCCUAAUCUUCACUUAAUGGCUAAUGCUUGAGCCUGGCCCCCUCCAUUAAAGCCACUUUUUUCUUUGAUUGUUUAUAAUUUGGACAAAAAUUUAGAUGUGGGGGGUACCAUUUUCCCAGUGAGAGUUAAAAGUAACGCCAAACUCUAUACCAUACUCAUAAUCUACCCUAAAGUCUUUUUAAAUCAUAAUAAAUAAAAAGAAGAAGAAAGAUAAAUAAAAUAUAAUAUUUGAUUAAUUAAUACAAGGAAGCUUACAAAGAUGGGUUUGGAUGCACAUGUCUCAUGAGGGGCUGCUAUUAGGGGGUUAGUGAGGGGUCACAUUCUCCCUGUGAUAGUGGGGACCAGGUCCUUGGCGUUGCCCCAUUCCCCAUUCCCCAUUCCUAGUCUUUGCUCUUCUUCUUCUUCUUCGUUUACAUUUAAAUUGUGGGUUAGGUUGCCUGUUGCUGCUAGCUAUGCCCUUUAUUACUGGGUUUUCCCAACAGUAUCCUUUGGGUAAUUAGAGGGGUCUUUUUUUUUUUUUUUUUUUUCUGAAAAAGAAGGGGUUAAUUUUGGAAAAGGGCAUCGUAUUCCCUAAUAAUAUACGACCUUAUUAUGACAUAAGAGGGUUACAGAAGCAAAUUAUUAUGGUAAUCUUUGAUUAGAUCAUAGGACCACCAUGAAUAAGAAGAAUCUCAAAGGAUAUAUCUAUAUCAUUAGGGGUGGUUUAUGUAGGAGCAGCAUGCUGUGGGACCAGCACGCCCCUAAUUAAUCACCAAAAUUAUCUCCUAAUUAUGGCGUUUGCUACUAGAAGCAAUUAAGGAGUUAGUGAUGUCUCCCACGCCCAUUAAAAUUGAAUGUUCUGUAAUCUUAAUCACAACUAGUGUAAACUUGUGGACUGGAUUGAUUGGUCUAUUCGGUGUAAUCUGUUCUUAUUGUUGUUAGGGCCAUCUUCCAAAGCAAUUACCACCGCUUGUUUCUUCUAAGUUCCACAGUCUAUGGAAGAUUUGCCAAAUGAUUCUUCUUCUUAUUAUAAAAAAAUAAUUCAUAUGUAACAGUUACUAAUAGUAAAUACAGUGUCUCUGAAGCUAUGGAUCCAGCCUUUUAAGAAACAAGAUCCUCUUUAAUUAAAACAAGUAAUUAUUAUUUAAAUAUUAAUUUGAUAUUAUGUUUCUUAUAAGAGAGAAAGAGAUCUUAACACUCAAGACUUUGAUAUUCAUAUUAAAGGACCUAAUUUCACAUAUGAAAAGUGGGUGGGGUAUUGACUUUGUGAAAAAAUGACCAUAUCUAUCUCUUGAAUUCCAAUAACUUGUAGCAUCAAACAGCCAAUCACAAACGUAUGAAAUGAUAUUUUCUCUCUCUCAAUUUGGAUUAAGGCAUAAUUAAUCCAAAUGAAAUACCAAAUAUUCCAAUGUGCAAAGCUGUUUCGCCAAGUAUGAUAUUUCUAUGAUUUUGUUGUAAGGGGCAAGUAUGACAUUUGGCUCUUUGUGUUUGGUAAAUGAGAUUGCAUAUUUUUCCUCAACUUUGAUCCCCACCUCCAUAAAGAAAAAAGAAUUAGAAGUAAAAAAGCAAACAUAAACUAAUUAAUAUUCACUUUAUAUAGAAGAGUGGAAUUUGGUCCAAACUGUCCUAAUUGAAAACAAAAAAAAUAAAAUUUGCUCAUAAGAAAAAACAUGAAAAAGUUGCAGUUUAUGUGGUCACUAAAAUAAAGACUGAUAAAGAGAUAUCCACCACAUUGUAUUCUCUCCUAAAGAUGCCUUUUUGAUAGCCAUCAUAAGCAAUUGAAAAAUACCACCAGAAAGAUCAAACUUUUUCACUUGCAAAUUUCAAAGUAGAGAGCUAGCUAAGGAGCCAUAUAUGAUAUAUGGUUCGAAGUAUAGGCCAGGUGGUGAGGAAAGGGUUCAGUCAGGUAUACGAAAAGGCAGCCAGUUGUAAGCACCUGUCGAGUGUGGUCCUUAUGAAGUGAUUCACUGGAGGCCGAUCAGCUCUAGCUAUUACAAGGAUGCAGUUGGUCAAUGCUUUCAGCAUGAAAGCGUCUUGCCUUUCUUUUAAUUACUAGAUUCUCACGUGUAACAAUCAUUUGCAGACUAUAUAUAUAUAUAUAUAUGGUUUUGAUUUUAUUA